rnacentral:tRNA from 1 species
CGUAGAGUAGAGCAGCCCGGCAGCUCGCCACGCUCAUAACGUGGAGGUCGUUGGUUCAAAUCCAACCUCUGCAACCA